rnacentral:rRNA from 1 species
CCUACGGGAGGCAGCAGUAGGGAAUAUUGCUCAAUGGAGGAAACCCUGAAGCAGCAACGCAGCGUGGAGGAUGAAGGUUUUCGGAUUGUAAACUCCUUUUGAUAGAGAAGUUAAUGACGGUAUCUAACGAAUAAGCACCGGCUAACUCCGUGCCAGCAGCCCCGGUAAUACGGAGGCUGCCAGCGUUACUCGGAAUCACUGGGCGUAAAGAGAGCGUAGGCGGGAUAGCAAGUCAGAUGUGAAAUCCUAUGGCUUAACCAUAGAACUGCAUUUGAAACUGUUAUUCUAGAGUAUGGGAGAGGUAGGUGGAAUUCUUGGUGUAGGGGUAAAAUGCGUAGAGAUCAAGAGGAAUACUCAUUGCGAAGGCGACCUGCUAGAACAUAACUGACGCUGAUGCGCGAAAGUGUGGGGAGCAAACAGGAUUAGAUACCCUUGUAGUC